GACGAACGCUGGCGGCGUGCUUAACACAUGCAAGUCGAACGGAAAGGCCCUGCUUUUGUGGGGUGCUCGAGUGGCGAACGGGUGAGUAACACGUGAGUAACCUGCCCUUGACUUUGGGAUAACUUCAGGAAACUGGGGCUAAUACCGGAUAGGAGCUCCUGCUGCAUGGUGGGGGUUGGAAAGUUUCGGCGGUUGGGGAUGGACUCGCGGCUUAUCAGCUUGUUGGUGGGGUAGUGGCUUACCAAGGCUUUGACGGGUAGCCGGCCUGAGAGGGUGACCGGCCAAAUGGGGCGUGAGAGAGGCACAGGACCCGUCGGGGAGGCAGAAGGGGGGAAUGUUGCAAAGGGGGCGGAGGCGGGACGAAGCAACGCCGGGGGGGGGAGGACGGCUUUCGGGUUGUAAACCGCUUUCGCCUGGGACGAAGGGGGAGGGAGGGAAAGGGGAAAAGAGGCACCGCCUACCUACGU
rnacentral:rRNA from 1 species